rnacentral:piRNA from 1 species
UCCUACAGUCACCAUCAUCGGCCCGAAG